rnacentral:rRNA from 1 species
UAUCUCUGUAGAGUCUGCAUAUCAAUAAGCGGAGGAAAAGAAACUAACUAGGAUUCCCUCAGUAACGGCGAGUGAAGCGGGAAGAGCUCAAAUUUGAAAUCUUCAAGGUUCUACCUUGACGAAUUGUAGUUUAAAGAAGUGUUUUCUGUUAGAGUUUUGGUAAAAGUUCUUUGGAAUAGGACAUCAUAGAGGGUGAGAAUCCCGUAUUUGACCAUUAUUUCCAGCUUUGUGAUACACUUUCAAAGAGUCGGAUUGUUUGGGAAUGCAGUCCAAAAUGGGCGGUAAAUUUCAUCUAAAGCUAAAUAUUGGCGAGAGACCGAUAGCGAACAAGUACCGUGAGGGAAAGAUGAAAAGAACUUUGAAAAGAGAGUUAAACAGUACGUGAAAUUGUCAAAAGGGAAGCGUUUGACACCAGUGUUGUUUUCUCGAAAAUCAAUUAAAAAAAGUUGGAUUUUGUAUUGUUAUGACCUUAUCAGCUUACUGUACUCUUUUCUUGUCUUUUUUAAUGCACUUUUCGUUUAACAAGUCAACAUCGAUUUCUUUUGUUGUAAAAGGGUCAUUGGAAGGUGGCUUUCUUUUCGGAGAAAGUGUUUAUAGCCUUUGGCCUCUGCAAUCGGAGAGAUUGAGGUCUGCAGCGUAGAUCCUUCGGGGUUAGAUACAUUUGUGCUAAGUUAUAGCCUUUCAUAGACAACUUGUUGACUAUGAUCAGUCAUGUAGCUUACUCGCUUAUGCUAUUUUACCUACGCUUAGGAUGUUGACGAUCAGCUGAGCGCG